rnacentral:lncRNA from 12 species
GCCAUUCAACAAAAAUAUAUUGAAUGCCAACUCUGCACCAGGCCAUGUGCCAAGUCCAAAGUAGGGAAGUUUCAUUAUGUAAUAGAACAAGUCUGGGACAUUCUCUGGAUGAUGGGGCUACAGGGAACCAGAGAAGUAAACAAUUUGGGGGAAGAAUAAAAGCAUCCGGGGACUCAGGAAUGGAGAACUUAUGUUUAAUGGGCACCUGCUGGGGGAUAGUCACAGUAUUGGAUGACACACACACUUCUAUGCAGCCGAGCCCAUCCUACACGUGUGAAAAAGUGCCAAUCUCACAUGAUGUCAGAAGGAGAAAUGAACAUGGGAGUGGAUGACAACUCGCCCUUAUUCCUUAAGGAAGAAUUUUUUAAAAGUUUAGCUGCUUGGAUACAGAAAGAAACACUCAUAAAAAGAAGAACUGACGGCAUGCGUAUUAAUCAAGAAUCGACGGCAUGCGUAUUAAUCAAGAAUCUUCUGUCCUUUUUGGUUUGACCAAAGCACAUUUCUGAGGCUCAAAGCUCAAUGAUCAAAUGCCACACUCUGAUGUUCUGAUGAAAGCAGUGGGAUUUUGUUGAAGCCUAGAUUUGGAUUUUUUUAAAAAUAUAACAAGGUGAUUUACAGAUUUUAUUUAUUUAUUCAUGAGAGACAGAGAGGUAGAGACACAGGCAUAGGGACUUCAUAGGCUCCAUGCAGGGAGCCUGCCAUGGGACUCAAUCCCGGGUCUCCAGGAUCAUGCCCUGGGCCGAAGGUGGCAUUAAAUGCUGAGCCACCCGGGCUGCGCUAGAUUUGGAUUUUUAUGACCCUCUCCAAACUGGUGGCCAGACCCCUGUGAUCACAGGGAGGGUAGAAACACCAGCAGCAGUACUAUGCUGAACAUCGAUAGAUCUCUUCCAUCACAAGCGAUCCAUGGGCAUUCUCCUAUUAGACCUCUUCAACAAUUCUGUGUGGGAACUGCUUUUACCUCCCUUCCGAAAGUGGGAGAAAAAGUCCAGGAGCUGAUGAGACUCAUGUCCCGCUGCACAGCUGGCUAGUGGUCCAUCCAGGAUCUCUUUGUAAAUAUUAGGGAUAUUUAUAUCCUAUCCUAUUGUUGCUGAUCAAACAGUAACAAAU